GACGUAGGGCGCGAGCGUUGUCCGGAUUUAUUGGGCGUAAAGAGCUCGUAGGCGGCUUGUUGCGUCGACUGUGAAAACCCGCGGCUUAACUGCGGGCUUGCAGUUGAUACGGGCAGGCUAGAGUUCGGUAGGGGAGACUGGAAUUCCUGGUGUAGCGGUGAAAUGCGCAGAUAUCAGGAAGAACACCUAUGGCGAAGGCAGCUCUCUGGGACGGUACUGACGCUGAGACGCGAAAGCGUGGGGAGCGAACAGG
rnacentral:rRNA from 1 species